rnacentral:lncRNA from 1 species
UUUUAAGUUCUAUGUAGUAAAAUCUAUCAAGAGAAAAAUUAAAUUCAUACUGGUUAUUUUAAUAUAAAAUUGUUUGACCAACACCACUGUUAUUAUUAUAAUGAAAACUUUGAUGCUAAGAAAUGUGAAUCUUUUUUAAUUGCUCUGGCAUAAACAAUUUUAUCAUUGCCUCUGAAGUAAGUACAGAGUAGCACUGCUAGCUUGCUUUCUUUCAUUUAUCCAUUCAACAGAUAUUAAUGCAUACCUAAUAUGUCAAGAACCAAGUUCACAGAAUAACAUGGCAGCCAAAAGCAAUAUAGGAAUCAGUACUCAAGGCUAGUGAAAGAAAAAUAAUAAUUACAGGGCCAUGAAUAACCUAUUGUUUUUGUUACUUUACCUUUUAAUAUUUACUGAGAACCUAUAAAGUGCCAAUCACUACUAAGUGCAUACAUGCAUUAUGAAAAAAUGUCCAUGCCCAGGUCACUUUAGCAAAUGAAAUUAUUUCAGUUUCAGAUCACCACUCUCUUAUACUCUCUUGCAUAGCAUCUUCCUAUUUUCUGUUUCUUAUCAACAAGAAGAACAUAGCUUGUUAAAUGGUUCUCAUUACAACAUAUGAAAUCCGGCACCAUUCUGAUUAAAUCAUGGGUUAAUCUAAAUUCAUUUAAACUUGGGCAGUUCACAAACAUGGCCAUCAGACUUGAAAGGGCUACACUCUAUCUAGAUCACAAUUUGUUCAGGCACACAGGAAUGGUGUUUCCCACCUAAGCACCUACUUUCAAUACUCUCAGCCCUACAGAUGUGCAACAUUGCACUUCAGCUGCAGAAUGUGCUUUCACCAAGGCUCCAGUACCCUCCAAGUUUGCUAGAGGGAUACAGUAAGAAAACUCUUGAACCUGCCUGAAGCUGUUCAUAACUGACACCAAUCUGCAUACUUAGAUCUUUACUUCCACUGAGGGCCAGAUAAGAUAGUUAUGUGAGCAAGAUUUUCAUACAUCCUAUAAUACCAUAUAAAUGGGCACCCUUAUUAAGAUACUUCUACAUCAAGCUCUUCUGGACCAGAAUGGUAACUGUCUCAGGACUGAAAUAGCCUCCAACAUUUUUUAGCUGAAUUUGACUUAUUAACUAUUUUGUUUUUCUACUAGACCCUAAGUGGUAGUAUGUUAAGAAACUAGUUCAUUAUUAUAUCCUAUAUCUGUGGAAAGUAAGUUUUUGACAAGAGCCAGUUCAAGACAAAUGAAACUUCAUGCAGGCUUCAAAAAGUCAUUAAAGAAGUGAAGUCAAUUUUUUUUUUUUACCAGCCAUACAACCAAUAAUUCUGAGCAGCAGCUGAAAUUUAGUACAUUCUGUUUAAGGCAACAUUUAUGGACAGGUUCUCAGAAAAGAAAGAUAAACGUGAUGAGCCCUACAUCCUCCAUACUUAACUUUCUCAUGGCUCUUAAGUCUGCAUUCUUUUUGGUUCAAUCACAGUCCUAGGAAUGACACCAUCACUGCCAGUUUCCUGAAAUAAUCAGCCUCCCAGGCCAGAUAGAGACUAGGCAGCUGCACAACUCUCUUAUGAUUCUCAAUGGCAGAGGGUCACACAGGGCCAUGACCUGGCAUCACACACAGGGCCUUCCAUUCUGCAGACUAUACCUCUAGCUUCCAAACUGAGGACAAGCAAUUAUUUAAAACUAUUUUUCUGGUUACCUUGAAGACCCUCUGUCCCAAUUUCUUUUCUUCGUGUUAGUUAAAAAGCAGGGCUCACAAUUGGUUUGAAGUACAGAACUAAAGGCCACUUGCUCAGAUUGUUGGUGGCUUUUAAGAUGACUAAAGUUUUUAAGUAUAAACAUACAGAAUCAUAAAAUAAAACUAGCACCAAGGUCAACAAUCUUUGCUAUCUUGACACUGCUGUCAAGCUAGAAGGCAGGAGAAAGUUUUGAAUCCUUAAUACUUAUCUGAGAAGGCCCUUGGCAGCCUUUAUCAUCACAAUAUUUGAAUUUCUGUUAUCAAAGUGAGGACCCUUACCAAUCUUCAGUGCAUUGAGGGAAUUUAGUUUACCUAAAGAAUAAAAUUAAGUUUGAAAAAAAUAUUCUAACGUAAAGAGGAUACCCAAUAGCUGAGUUAUCAAAGACAAAAGAAACAUUGAGGUUUGAGGUCAGAGAAAGCAUUCAUAGGAGGAGUCCUUCUUUGGGUGUGAAGGGAACAAAGACCACAGAGCUGAAAUCAAUGCAGCCCUACAGCUUCAAGUAUGCUGAACAAGUUCUGGGGAUCCUGGGAAGAAAAUGUAUAGGAGAUUAAGAGCUUCCUAAUAAAAAAUGACUGAAUUUGAACAUGUCAAGGGGAAGGGAAAGCAGAGGAACUCAAAGAAACUGAGAUUUUUCUCUCAAAACCUUCUAAGGAAAAGGUUGUUGUUAUUACUGCUUGCUCUUUCCUAUCUCAGCAGCCUGGCUGGGAAGCAAUGGAGUCAGCAAGAAAAACACAAUGCGACCUUCUGUUCUAGGGGAAGUGGGAAAAAAAGAAGUCCAAGGUUGCCUCCUUCUUACCCACUCCUGAGGCACAUUUUCAUGCUAUUGUUGGACUUUGCAGUUUUCCUUCUGGUUGCCAUGGCAUCAGAGACACAAAUGCCUUCUUCCACUUUAAAACUGAAUUCCCUUACAAACAAAAUUGUUUCCAUUUGAGAAUAUUCUCACCCUCACACCCAUCAGAACUGCUUUCAAAAGAAAGAAUGUGUCUUUUUAAAAUAUGGAUGAAAUGCAUUGCCUUCUUCUGAUUAUAAGAGGAACAUAUUUUUAUUUUGAAAAUGCAGGGGAAAUUGUUUUUUUAAAUGGAAGAAAUUGCCCUAAGAGCUUUUUACCUGAUGACCAUAUAAGUGGCAUGUUAGCAUAUUUAUUUCAGGU